UUUGGAUCGAUCAACUUAUUAUCAUCUAUGAUGUUAUGUAGUGAAAAUAAAGAAGCCAUAAUACGAAAUGAAAUCAACAUAAAUAAAGAAUAAUAAUAUAAGUAGAUCACUUAUGUUUGAUAUGCAUAACUAGAUGAGGUCUUUUGACUAGUUAUGUCUUCCACUAUUUUAUUGGAUACCAUAGCCCUCUCUAUUGUAGACAAGAAAAUCUUAAAUUUAUUUCUUAGUGAGGUUGAGAUCCUAAUUCUUAAUGAAGCCUUGUGGAUAUCAUAACAAAUUUCAAUGAGUUCAAAGAUAGAAAAAUCUAUCUAAUUGCAUCUCAUGUAAUUCUUAAUAUAAUAUAUGUCUCUAAAAACACUCACAGCUUUGUGGAUAUCACAACAAACUAUAGUAUUUUCUAGUUAAAUCAGACCUUUCAUUUUCAUAUAGUCAUAUCUAAAAAAUACUAUCCUUAUGGAUAUCACAAUAAAGCAACAUAUCCAAAAUAUGCCGUAAAGCAUCUAAUAUGCACCAAGAUAACCCCACAUCAAUCCUAUAGCAAGUCUUGUGGAUAUCGUAACAAACCUACUAUAAUCAUUGACAGGGUAUUGACUAGGCAUGAAGGAAGGCAUAUAUAGUGCUCAAAAUAUUGAGCAUCCUUCAUUCAAGACUCAAAUUAAUUCAAUUGACUAGAAAAGUAUUAAGAUUGAUGGAGGUCCUCCCAUUGCUUUCUUUAGACACCAAUAAAUUGACCAGAUCAGUGAAUGGAAUCAAUUAAAGAACCACCGUAGACAUCAAUUGAUUAAUCGAUUCAAGAAAUUGGUUAACUACUGGUUCACAACACUAUGACUUAAUAUGAUUUUUAUGAAGACUUUAAUGGCCUCAUAUACAUCCUAAUUUAAACCAAUCAUAAUGAUGCACUAUUAUAGUUAUAUCUUCAUAAACAUAAGAACUAAUCAAGGCAUCUAAUCAUAUCUUUAAGAUAUGAAAUCACAAUCAUACAACAUGAUUAUAACACAGC
rnacentral:lncRNA from 1 species